UACGUAGGCAGCGAGCGUUGUUCGGAGUUACUGGGCGUAAAGGGUGCGUAGGCGGCCUUAUAAGUAUGGUGUGAAAUCUCCCGGCUUAACUGGGAGGGUGCGCUAUAGACUGUGGGGGCUAGAGUGUGGGGAGAGGAAAGUGGAAUUCCUGGUGUAGCGGUGAAAAUGCGUAGAUAUCAGGAGGGAACACCGGUGGUGUAAACGGCUUUCUGGACCAUAACUGACGCUGAGGCACGAAAAGCGUGGGGUAGCAAAACAGG
rnacentral:rRNA from 1 species